UUUUUCAUAAAUCUUUAAUAUGGCUAAUAUGUGCACGUUUUGACUGUUUGGGUAUGAUCCUAUACCAAUUUGAUUUGAGAAAAGCAUCUCAGUAAUUGAUUUUUUAUUUUUUAGAUUUUUUCGUAAAUCUUUAAUAAGGAUAAUAUGUGCAUGUUUUGACUGUUUGACUAUCAUCCUGUACCAAUUUGAUUUGAGAAAAGUAUCUUAGUAGUUGAUUUUUUAUUUUUCGGAUUGUUUUGUAAAUCUUUAAUAAGGCUAAUAUGUGCACGUUUUUACUGUUUGGGUAUGAUCCUGUACCAAUUUGAUUUGAGAAAAACAUCUCAGUAAUUGAUUUUUUAUUUUUCUUGCCUUACUUGGUUGACAGACAUCCCCUCACACAUUAAUUAUGGUAAAUUUAGAUACCUCUUCUUGAUUUCAUUUAAUAAGUAGGAAGGAUAUCUUUUUACUUGUUCUAUUCAUGGAAAUUUCAAAUGUUAUAAUAGGGUAUUAUUUAUUUAUGGAAACUAUAUCAUGAUUGGUGGAAUGGAUUGAUUUACCCCAUCCAUUUAAGGGAACAAUCCCCUUAAUUGAUUCAUUAUAUGUUAUGCUUCUUCCAUUAAAUAUUAUUCUUCCUUCAUUAUUUGGGAUUGUGGACGGUCCUCCUCACUAUAUAAACUCACCAUUCUCUUUCUCUAAGAGGACAAACUUCUCCUCCGCUAUUACUCUCUCUGUUUUCUCUUAAAAGUACUUUGAAGUUCUUUGGCACUUUGAAUUUCGAAAAACAUUCGGUCUUGUCCUUGCUGCAAUUGCUUUGGGUUCUAUUAUUAUUGUUUGGUGCCUAAUUGGUUAGUCUCUAUCGACGCAUUCUUUUCUUAUUCUGUAGCAUUUGUGAUAGCAAAGCACAGAAAGCAUGUCUAUAGGAACUAAUUUAAAAUAAUUAUGAUUUUGCUUUUUUCACUGUCAUAAAGAAAAUUAAAAAAAGAAAAGAAUAACUUACUAGAGUGUACUAUAACCAGUUCUAGCUGUUUUCUUGAACAGUAGCACAUUUGGUGCAAGUUGAAGACAUUCUGGGUAUUGCUGUUUGUAUUUUCUUGUUCUGUGUUUGCUUUGUUUGACUGUGGUUUCUUGUGAAAGUUUUGUCAUAAUUGAACACAGCUCAGGGUUUUACUUUUCAUAGCUAUUUUCCACUUUGUUUCUGAUAUUUUGUUGGGUUUUUGCUUUGUUUCUAGCAUAAAAAUGUAAGUUCUUUUUCCCCAUUUUCUUUUUUAGGGCCAAGAAGGGUGAGUGAUGUGGUGGGUAGAGGGGCCAGUGGGGGGGGGUCUUUUGUUUAAUUCUUUUCAAAUUAAUGUAAAGAUAAUGUUUGAUAGAAUCUUAUUGGGAAGACAAAGUGUGUGAAUCACAUUCAGCAGAGUGGGAGAAAAGGUGAAGAAAUUUAAGAGAGGAUUUUGAAGGAUGAAUGAUAGCUCAGCUAGAGAAAUGAAUGAGAGAUAACCUUAAAGGCCUUGUGGUUGUCUGGGCAUUUUCUUUCAGCUCUUUGAUCGGAAUCGUAGAUUUGCCAAGAAGCUGUUUCCAAAGAAACUGCUUUCACCAGCUUGCUUGAAACAAGCUUCAAAAAAGUUUGGAGGGGAUGAGAAGCAGCCAAAGCUUCGUUUGAUUACUGAUGAGAACAGUGGGGGUUUUCAAAAUGCAAAGAAUAAUGGAAUGACCGAUACAAAUUAUGAAAGCAAGCGCGAAAUGAAAGCUCCAAGUUUGGUUGCUAGGCUCAUGGGUUUGGAAUCGAUGCCAGCAGGAUCAGGUAGUAUGCCCCAAAAGGCUUCAGCUUCUGAAACUUAGAGCAAUGUGGCAGACAAACUUGGUGCUCGACCUGGUGGAUCUGAUAAAGAAGAUAUGGAUUUUGAGAUGGACGAAAUAAAGAGUUCAGAACCAGGUUUGCAAAGGUUUAGAGCUAAAUGUGCUCUCACUUAUCCUACUAGAUAUUUUUCUCCUUUGGAAGAUAAAGCGGAUUUAGUUGGGAAUUCACUUGAUCACCAUUCAACUGACAUCUACCUCUCCAGCAGCCCCAAUAGUAGCUCAAAGGACAAAGUGCUUGCUGAAUCAGUGGACUCUGUGGAUGAUGAACCACUCUUUCCAAAACCUGAUAGAGAUCUUUCGAAUUGUGAGACCUCAUUAUCCACCAGGAGGAGUUGCAGAGAACUGAUUCAUAACGUUUCUGGAGUACUCAGCAAGAUUGAUCAGUUAAAACAAAGCAAACUCAGCUACGCAAAAUAGGUCAUUUUGAAUGCUGAACUCAUAUUUGGAACUACACCUCAACAAUAGGCUCUACCUGUAGAGGAUGGGUUCUCUGUGAGCCAUUUUUUCCUCAAUUAACAUGAAAUGUUUUUGAGUUUUCUAUGGAUGUCUUUCGGUGGGUUGCUUGGCUGUAAUGACCCAAAACAGAUGAAUCAGCUUAAAGGAUUCCCCUUUGAUUGUCUAUUAGAGUACCUAGACUAAAAAUUUUCUCCAAUCUCUGAUUCUGGUUUCAGAACCUGUACCAAACUACCAUCAAGUAUGACCAAAGAGAUUCUGAUUGCUGAUAUUAUUGAUGAGGUCGAAGAGUGGACACAAUUUGUUGGUUAGAUCCCAGACGAGCUAAUAGAAUGGGAUAUGAGCCAUUCUUUGGGUAAAUGUACGGACUUCUAGAUUGAAGAAUAUGAAUGUGGCACUAAAGUUUCUAGGCAUAUUCUCCAAGAAUUAGUAGAUGAAGUUGUUUUAGACCUCUACAGUUCUAGCUAAAUUUGGUGGAACUGUUAGUAGCUCUUCUUUUUGAGACUUUGUUGCAAGCCUAUCAGUGCUGUUCUCAUGUGAUAACUCUUGAAUCAAUAAUGUCAAGCAAAGUAUUUUGUACAAAUCAUUGAUUCUGCAUCU